CACACACACAAAGCAGCGUAUGUAUGUGUGUGUAUAUAUAUAUAUAUAUGUGUGUGUGUAUGUGUAUAUAUAUAUAUAUACAUAUAUAUAUAUAUAUACACACAUACAUAUACACGCGGCGUGUGUUUG